CACGUAGGGCGCAAGCGUUGUCCGGAAUUAUUGGGCGUAAAGAGCGUGUAGGCGGCCUGGUAAGUCCGCUGUGAAAGUCCAGGGCUCAACCCUGGAAUGCCGGUGGAAACUGUCAGGCUCGAGUCCGGAAGAGGCGAGUGGAAUUCCUGGUGUAGCGGUGAAAUGCGCAGAUAUCAGGAGGAACACCAAUGGCGAAGGCAGCUCGCUGGGACGGUACUGACGCUGAGACGCGAAAGCGUGGGGAGCAAACAGG
rnacentral:rRNA from 1 species